rnacentral:ribozyme from 1 species
AAAAAUGAUGGAAGUACCUACUAUGAUAGUAGAUAGAAUUUGUCUUGAUUUCAUUAUUUUGCAGUAAUACAUGACGGUUUUCUUCACCAGAGUUAUCAUUUCAUUUCUCAUGCUCGCCGCCGACGACGCGCGGCUCGGCU